GACCGUUUAGCUUAAUCGGGUAAAAGCGGCCGGCUCAUAACCGGAAGAUAGCGAGUUCGAAUCUCGUGGCGGUCACCAUAUUUAACAGUGUAGCUCAAUCGGAUA
rnacentral:tRNA from 1 species